rnacentral:rRNA from 1 species
UACGUAGGGUGCGAGCGUUAAUCGGAAUUACUGGGCGUAAAGCGUGCGCAGGCGGUUUUGUAAGCCAGAUGUGAAAUCCCCGGGCUUAACCUGGGAAUGGCAUUUGGGACUGCAAGGCUCGAGUGCGGCAGAGGAGACUGGAAUCCUGGUGUAGCAGUGAAAUGCGUAGAUAUCAGGAGGAACACCGAUGGCGAAGGCAGGUCUCUGGGCUGACACUGACGCUCAUGCACGAAAGCGUGGGGAGCAA